GUACACUCCUGCGGGAGGCAGCAGUGGGGAAUUUUGGACAAUGGGGGCAACCCUGAUCCAGCAAUGCCGCGUGAGUGAAGAAGGCCUUCGGGUUGUAAAGCUCUUUUGUCAGGGAAGAAACGGUGGUGGCGAAUAACUACUACUAAUGACGGUACCUGAAGAAUAAGCACAGGCUAACUACGUGCCAGCAGCCGCGGUAAUACGUAGGGUGCAAGCGUUAAUCGGAAUUACUGGGCGUAAAGCGUGCGCAGGCGGUUGUGUAAGUCAGAUGUGAAAUCCCCGGGCUCAACCUGGGAAUUGCAUUUGAGACUGCACGGCUAGAGUGUGUCAGAGGGGGGUAGAAUUCCACGUGUAGCAGUGAAAUGCGUAGAUAUGUGGAGGAAUACCGAUGGCGAAGGCAGCCCCCUGGGAUAACACUGACGCUCAUGCACGAAAGCGUGGGGAGCAAACAGGAUUAGAUACCCCAGUAGUCCCAUGAU
rnacentral:rRNA from 1 species